rnacentral:rRNA from 1 species
GAUGAACGCUGGCGGCGUGCCUAAUACAUGCAAGUCGAGCGAACAGAUAAGGAGCUUGCCCCUUUGACGUUAGCGGCGGACGGGUGAGUAACACGUGGGUAACCUAUCUAUAAGACUGGAAUAACUCCGGGAAACCGGGGCUAAUGCCGGAUAACAUGUUGAACCGCAUGGUUCUACAGUGAAAGGCGGCUUUGCUGUCACUUAUAGAUGGACCCGCGCCGUAUUAGCUAGUUGGUGAGGUAACGGCUCACCAAGGCAACGAUACGUAGCCGACCUGAGAGGGUGAUCGGCCACACUGGAACUGAGACACGGUCCAGACUCCUACGGGAGGCAGCAGUAGGGAAUCUUCCGCAAUGGGCGAAAGCCUGACGGAGCAACGCCGCGUGAGUGAUGAAGGUCUUCGGAUCGUAAAACUCUGUUAUUAGGGAAGAACAAAUGCGUAAGUAACUGUGCGCGUCUUGACGGUACCUAAUCAGAAAGCCACGGCUAACUACGUG